rnacentral:rRNA from 1 species
AUUGAACGCUGGCGGCAGGCCUAACACAUGCAAGUCGAGCGGAGCGGCGGAAGGGUGAGUAAUUGCUAGGAAUCUGCCUGGUAGUGGGGGAUAACGUCCGGAAACGGGCGCUAAUACCGAAUACUAUCGGAUGAGCCUAGGUCGGAUUAGCUCGUUGGUGGGGUAAAGGCCUACCAAGGCGACGAUCCGUAACUGGGCUGGGAGGAUGAUCAGUCAUACUGGAACGGUGACACGUUCCAGACUCCUACGGGAGGCAGAAGUGGGGAAUAUUGGACAAUGGGCGAAAGCCUGAUCCAGCCAUGCCGCGUGUGGGAAGAAGGUCUUCGGAUUGUAAAGCACUUUAAGUUGGGAGGCGUUACCAACAGAAUAAGCACCGGCUAACUUCGUGCCAGCAGCCGCGGUAAUAC